rnacentral:rRNA from 1 species
GAUGAACGCUAGCGAUAGGCCUAACACAUGCAAGUCGAGGGGCAGCAUUAUGAAGUAGCAAUACGGAUUAGAUGGCGACCGGCGCACGGGUGCGUAACGCGUAUGCAACCUACCUACAAAAGGGGGAUAGCCUCUCGAAAGAGAGAUUAACACCGCAUAGUACUACCGAGAGGCAUCUUUUGGUAGUUAAAUAUUUAUAGAUUGUAGAUGGGCAUGCGUAUGAUUAGCUAGUUGGUGAGGUAACGGCUCACCAAGGCGACGAUCAUUAGGGGUUCUGAGAGGAAGGUCCCCCACACUGGUACUGAGACACGGACCAGACUCCUACGGGAGGUAGCAGUGAGGAAUAUUGGUCAAUGGACGCAAGUCUGAACCAGCCAAAUCGCGUGAAGGAUGAAGGUUCUAUGGAUUGUAAACUUCUUUUAUAUGGGAAUAAAGUGCGGUACGUGUACCGUUUUGUAUGUACCAUAAGAAUAAGGACCGGCUAACUCCGUGCCAGCCGCCGCGGUAAGAC